rnacentral:lncRNA from 1 species
GCUAUAAGGAUUGAUUGAGAGCCUAUGAGUUCACCUACAAUCAUUUCAUAUGAUUUAGAGUGAAUUAGAAUUAAAAAAAUUUAAAAGAUUUAGUGAAGUUUAGCAAUAAUGGUGUUGUAUUAUGUGGCAUUUGGCUUGAGAAUGCAUCGGGCAGCUGGUUGUGGAAGAUAAAAGGAAAAUUGUAACAACAAGUCCUAACAAUUCUAACAGAUUUUUAAUUAAAUUAUAAUUAAAGAGUAGCAAAUACAAUCAAAUAUCAAUCAAAUUCAAUUGAAAUUUCAAAAAAACUAUUAAAGAAACAUAAAGAAUUCUUAGAGACCAUUUUAAGAAAUCAUAAAAAAACAAAAUAGAAAUUAAAAAACAAAUAUAUUAAAAUAUAAAUCUUAAUAAAAUAUUAAAAUGAAAACCUUAAUUAAAUCCUAUUCAAAACUUAGUCAAAUCCUAAAUGGUUUUAAUCAAAUUCCAAUCAAAUCCUAAAUAAACCUUAAUUAAAUCUUAAUAAAAUCUUAAUCAAAUCUUAAUCAAAUCUUAAUAAAAUCCUAAUCAAAUCCUAACCUUAACCAAAUCUUAAAUCAAUCCAAAAUUCUAAUCCUAACCAAACCUUAAAUCAAUCCAAAAUCCUUAUCCUAAUCCUAACCCUAAACCAAAUCCAAAUCAAUUCCAAGUAAUUCUUAUAGUAGAUUUAAACAUCAAUAUCUAAUGAAUGAAUUAUUGAUUUCAACUCAAAUUUUGCAUACUUCUUAAUAAUUAAAUUGAAAACAAGCAUUAAAAAAAAAAUAAAAAAUCAGAAUUACUAA